UACGUAGGGUGCGAGCGUUAAUCGGAAUUACUGGGCGUAAAGCGUGCGCAGGCGGUUCGUUAAGUCAGCUGUGAAAGCCCCGGGCUCAACCUGGGAAUUGCGGUUGAAACUGGCGAACUAGAAUCUGGCAGAGGGGGGUGGAAUUCCACGUGUAGCAGUGAAAUGCGUAGAUACCGGGAGGAACACCCGCGGCGAAGGCGGCCCGCUGGGCCACCCCUGACGCUGAGGCGCGAAGGCCCGGGGAGCGAACGGG
rnacentral:rRNA from 1 species